GACGAACGCUGGCGGCGUGCUUAACACAUGCAAGUCGAACGGUGAACCUCUUCGGAGGGGAUCAGUGGCGAACGGGUGCGUAACACGUGGGCAACCUGCCCCCGGCCCUGGCAUAACUCCAAGAAAUUGGGGCUAAUACCGGAUGUUCACCGCUUCCCGCAUGGGUGGUGGUGGAAAGGGUUUCCGGCUGGGGAUGGGCCCGCGGCCUCUGAGCUUGUUGGUGGGGUAGUGGCCUACCAAGGCGACGACGGGUAGCCGGCCUGAGAGGGUGACCGGCCACACUGGGACUGAGACACGGCCCAGACUCCUACGGGAGGCAGCAGGGGGGAAUAUUGCGCAAUGGGCGGAAGCCUGACGCAGCGGCGCCGCGUGGGGGAUGACGGCCUUCGGGGUGUAAACCUCUUUCAGCAGGGACGAAGCGCAAGUGACGGUACCUGCAGAAGAAGCACCGGCCAACUACGUG
rnacentral:rRNA from 1 species